GCUGCUCAAAACUUUGCACACCUCUACGCGGUGAGCAGUAGGCAACGUCAUUUGACGGCUAAGAUGUGAAG
rnacentral:ribozyme from 1 species